CAUUCAAAGAGUGCGUAACAGCUCACUAGUCGAGAGUCCCUGCGCCGAAAAUGUCCGGGGCUAAAACUUACCACCGAAGCUACGGGCUUGCGUAAGCAAGCGGUAGGGGAGCGUCGUAAUCGGGCUGAAGUCGUACCGUAAGGAGCGGUGGACUGAUUACGAGUGAGAAUGUUGGCAUUAGUAGCGAGAUGUAGGUGAGAAUCCUACAGGCCGAAUAUCUAAGGUUUCCUCAGGAAGGCUCGUCCGCUGAGGGUUAGUCGGGACCUAAGCCGAGGCCGAAAGGCGUAGGCGAUGGACAACAGGUUGAUAUUCCU
rnacentral:rRNA from 1 species